CGGUUUGACUAUUCACGGCAAGACGAUUGAGAUCGGAUUUACAAUAAACAAGUUCACCUAAUCUACUCCAGGUGGCGUAUACUUGGCUAAUGCUCCCACUCUAUGGUCCGCGUUGACGUAUGUCCGCUUCGAUGGUGCUGUCGAAGCUCUAUGUUCUAUCAGCUAACCUUCAAAGUUGAAUUGUCAAACUUCGCCGGGUGGUUCCACACUUCGAUUUCCAUUUCCAUCGGUGAAGGAAAUGCCGGAAAAUAGUGGAAACAGUGCAGGACGGAAUCUUCAAAGGUGGACUUCGCAAAGCCGGCUCCGGGCACAUGUCAUGGGGGUUAACAGUUACUAAUAUCGUCCAACCAGGGUAGUUUGGAAUACUGGACAGCGUCGUUGACUCCCCCUGUGACGGUGGUGAGCUUCUCCGAGGGUGUUGGAGUCAGCAGCAGUUGGAGGUUGCAUAAAAAUGAGAGAAAAAGCAUUUAGCAUACUGAUAUCCUGGAGCAGAGGGAUAACAGGGUGUUCGGUGGAAUUUCGGAAGAAACGGUGUGUGGGAUACCACUUACCCACUGGAUGACAGUCAGACGGUCCUGUUUGAUGGCAAUAAAGCUGCACAGAACAAACAAAAACUGUACGGAACAGAAUCUUCCAACACUGGCAGACCAGGUUAGAUUUAUCGGUUAUGGUGGAAUCGCGGAAAUCUAGGUUUUGGCCACAUAGUGGCACCUCGGACAGGCCUGGGUCGUCUUCCGGGGGAGCGGUUCCUUCUUUGGACCUGGAGCGGUCUUCCGGGGAAGUGGUUCCUUCUUCGGAAUUGGAGCGGUACGGAGCUUCUUGUUUCCUGG